GUAUAUGGUAGUACUUUUCUAGUAAUUUUGUUGUUUCUUUUCCUUUACGUUUCUACACUAGAAUGUUGGACAUUUGGACAAGUUUGGGUUUCUGAUGUGAUGAGCUUCAUGUUUUGGAUUGAAUAAAAGUAAUUAAGCUAUACAAUGCUCUUAAAUAAUCUUGUAUCCAUACCUUGUUCCUAAAAAUUAUAAUUGAAUAAAAGCGGGUAAAAAAGCUAAAAUUUCACUAUAGGUUUGAAACAUGUAUUAAAUCAAAUAAUAGGCCAAUUGUAAUAGAUUAAGUGAUCGUGCUAGAACCAAACAAUCUGGGAGUGCCUAACAUCUUCCAUAGGGUUAACGGAAUAUUUUAUUCAGUAUUUCUGUUUCAUAGAUUUCUAAAGAAAAAUCAAAAUCUUCCUCGAUUAGGGAUUUAAAAAUGUAUCGAUGACUUGGGACAUCAAAUAAAAUAUCCCAAGCGGCGACUCAAAUAUGUAUAAAUAAUCCCAUUUCGAAUAAUGUCACUUAAAUUUGAAAAACUCCAUUAUACAUUAUCCUCUUCGGAGUGGUGUCUAAAAAGGGAGGUGUGACAGCUCUGGCAACUCUAGUGGGGACACAGAACCCAGAACAUCGGUUCAGGAUUCAAGAAUUGAGCUUAGAAUAGCUGUUA
rnacentral:lncRNA from 1 species